UACAGAGGUCCCAAGCGUUGUUCGGAUUCAUUGGGCGUAAAGGGCUCGUAGGCGGCCAACUAAGUCAGACGUGAAAUCCCUCGGCUUAACCGGGGAACUGCGUCUGAUACUGGAUGGCUCGAGUUUGGGAGAGGGAUGCGGAAUUCCAGGUGUAGCGGUGAAAUGCGUAGAUAUCUGGAGGAACACCGGUGGCGAAGGCGGCAUCCUGGACCAAUACUGACGCUGAGGAGCGAAAGCCAGGGGAGCAAACGGG
rnacentral:rRNA from 1 species